UACGUAGGGUGCAAGCGUUUAAUCGGAAUUACUGGGCGUAAAGAGUGCGUAGGCGGUUCUUGAAGUCCGCUGUGAAAGCCCCGGGCUUAACCUGGGAAUGGCAGUGGAAACUGGGGGGACUUGAAUUGAGCAGAGGGGGGUGGAAUGCCGCGUGUAGCAGUGAAAUGCGUAGAGAUGCGGCGGAACACCGAUGGCGAAGGCAGCCCCCUGGGCUUAAAUUGACGCUGAGGCACGAAAGCGUGGGGAGCAAACAGG
rnacentral:rRNA from 1 species